CACCUGGUUGAUCCUGCCAGUAGUCAUAUGCUUGUCUCAAAGAUUAAGCCAUGCAUGUCUAAGUAUAAGCUUUAAACGGCGAAACUGCGAAUGGCUCAUAAAACAGUUAUAGUUUAUUUGGGAUCGAU
rnacentral:ncRNA from 1 species